rnacentral:rRNA from 1 species
GACAGAGGGUGCAAACGUUGCUCGGAAUCACUGGGCGUAAAGAGCGUGUAGGCGGUCAGGUAGGUCGGUUGUGAAAACUGGAGGCUCAACCUUCAGAGGUCGACCGAAACCCCCUGGCUAGAGUCCGGGAGAGGAGAGUGGAAUUCCUGGUGUAGCGGUGAAAUGCGCAGAUAUCAGGAAGAACACCCGUGGCGAAAGCGGCUCUCUGGAACGGUACUGACGCUGAGACGCGAAAGCGUGGGGAGCGAACAGG